CCAUCUGUUAGAGGAAAAAAAGAGACAGAAGUUACCACCUAGACAAAUGUGGAUUCUCUACAGCUCACCUGCUGAUAAGGUGAAGAGGUAGUGCUGCAUCCUGUGACAUUGUCUUGCAAAUAACAGAUUGGCAAACAUUUAAAAGAGUGAUGCAAGGAUGUGGGGAAAUAGGAGCUCUCAUCUACUUCUGGUCAGUCACAUAAAUUUGUCAGGACAUACUGGAAGAAAAAGGACUAUCUCUUGUCAGGACAUACUGGAAGAAAAAGGACUAUCUCUUUGGUCAUAAAAGGGAACCAGGCACAGAGAAAGGGAUUCACCUACAAGCUAUUACCAAAGGAUGGCAUUCCCGAAGGCCCCGCGUGAAUGAAGAAACAUGGGGCCGGUGCUGCUCACCUUUCAGCUGAUGGUUCUCAGUUAGAAGCUCUCUCAUCUGCUGCA